CUGAGUUCCUCCUAAUCCAAGACCUCAUGUGGCUGGAGUGUGUCAGCAGUUCCUGUGAGAUGAAGGCCUUGAUGCUAUGGACUGGCCCGCCCGUUCCCCAAACCUGAAUCCAAUUGAGCACAUCUGGGACAUCUUGUCUUGCUCCAUCCACCAACGUCACGUUGCACCACAGACUGUCCAGGAGUUGGCAGAUGCUUUAGUCCAGGUCUGGGAGGAGAUCCCUCAGGAGACCAUCCGCUACUUCAUCAGGAGCAUGCACAGGUGUUGUAGGGAGGUCAUACAGGCACGUGGAGGCCACACACACCACUGAGCCUCAUUUUGACUUGUUUUAAGGACAUUACAGCAAAGUUGGAUCAGCCUGUAGUGUGUUUUUUCACUUUAAUUUUGAGUGUGACUCCAAAUCCAGACCUCCAUGGGUUGAAAAAUUUGAUUUCCAUUUUUUUAUUUUUGUGUGAUUUUGUUGUCAGCACAUUCAACUAUGUACAGAACAAAGUAUUUCAGAAGAAGAUUUAAUUCAUUCAGAUCUAGG